rnacentral:tRNA from 1 species
UCCCUGGUGGUCCAGUGGCUAAGGCACUGUGUUCCCAAUUCAGGGGGUCCAGGUUCGAUCCCUGGUCAGGGAA